GGUGUAGGCGGUAUUCCACGCCGUCUGUGCCGCAGCUAACGCAUUAAGCACCCCGCCUGGGGAGUACGGCCGCAAGGCUAAAACUCAAAGGAAUUGACGGGGGCCCGCACAAGCAGCGGAGCAUGUGGCUUAAUUCGACGCAACGCGAAGAACCUUACCAAGGCUUGACAUACACCGAAAACUCGUAGAGAUACGGGGUCCGCAAGGGCGGUGUACAGGUGGUGCAUGGUUGUCGUCAGCUCGUGUCGUGAGAUGUUGGGUUAAGUCCCGCAACGAGCGCAACCCUCGUUCUAUGUUGCCAGCGGUUCGGCCGGGGACUCAUAGGAGACUGCCGGGGUCAACUCGGAGGAAGGUGGGGAUGACGUCAAAUCAUCAUGCCCCUUAUGUCUUGGGCUGCACACAUGCUACAAUGGCCGGUACAAAGGGCUGCUAAGCCGCGAGGUGGAGCGAAUCCCAAAAAGCCGGUCUCAGUUCGGAUUGGGGUCUGCAACUCGACCCCAUGAAGUCGGAGUUGCUAGUAAUCGCAGAUCAGCAAACGCUGCGGUGAAUACGUUCCCGGGCCUUGUACACACCCGCCC
rnacentral:rRNA from 1 species